rnacentral:rRNA from 1 species
UACAGAGACCCCGAGCGUUAUCCGGAAUUACUGGGCGUAAAGCGCGAGCAGCCGGUUGUAUUAGUCUGAUGUUAAAUCCUUAGGCUUAACUUAGGGACCGCAUCGGAAACGGUACGGCUAGAGCAGCUGAAAGGUAAGCGGAACGUGCGGUGUAGGGGUGAAAUCCAUUGAUAUCGCACGGAACACCAAAAGCGAAGGCAGCUUACUGGCGGUUUGCUGACGGUCAAUCGCGAAAGCGUGGGGAU